CCUAGAUGGUCUUUUGGUCCUUGGUCGUGUGGGGGGUCUGCAUUUAUUUCGUAUUUUGGCCGAUGUUUCACACAUUGUGGUGCUCAGCCUCUUCGUGUGGCUGGGAUUGAUGGAAUUUUUGUUGUUGGGCGGAGGCGUGGUUGUUCCACCAGAUUCAUGCGGGACCUGCUGCAGAGGCGAGGGGGGGUUUUCCAGGAGCGGUUCGUCCCCCCAGCGCGUCCUGGUUCCCCCUCUUCUCCUGGGCCUGCUGCGGUCGCGCGGUGCCGGUUCCCUGUGCCAUGUGGGCUCCGCUUGAGUUCUGUUGUUGAAUCCACACUUGGACUGGCAAGUAAACGCGGCGCAUUCGGGGGGGCCCCCGCUAUCUUUGGUUUGCUGCG
rnacentral:lncRNA from 1 species